GUCUUUUUCAUUAAAAUUCCACGCUUAGUUCCGAAAUGGGGAUGGUGGAGCAAACAGAAAUAUAGACGCAUGUGUGUGGAUUUAUUUUGCUAAAGAUGUAUUUUUUAUUAUUAAAAAUAUAUUACAAAAACUUUCGUUCAAUGACAUAACCAGAGAAAUUAUGUUGCUUAAUCUCAAAUCAAACCAAUGUAGUUGGGAUUUAAGUGUAGAUGGUGUUAUCUGUUAAUCAAGGAAAAUAGGACAUCCUGAAUAUAUGUUGGAGUUGCAUUUGCUUGAAAGGGUUUUACCUUUUAGCCUAACAGAUUAUACUUUUGCAUUAUUCUCCUUCAUAAGCAGUAGCUUGUUAUGCAAAUUAUUCUUACCAGGGCGCUUCCGCGAUGGGUCAGAAAUUCAGGACCUCGAGUGCCGACCACGCCUGCUGGUGAUGGCCAUUUCAUUGGAAUAUAAGGGAUGUACUCGCAAAUGUAAACAAAAUUAUGUUUCCAUUGUUUAAGCACUUGGCACGCUUACAGUGCUAAAAUUUAGAAUAAUUUUAACUUUCUGGUACCCAGAAUUUAAGGAUGGAGUUUGUAAAUCCAUCAAGCCCAUCAUAAUAAUAUUAUCUCAAGGAUUCCGGAGCAUCAUUUACAGAGGGUUAACAGAAUUUUAUAAAUGACCUAUGUACUUUGUGUUGAUUGGCUGAAUUACUUCUGCGCAAAGGGAAAGUAUUUUCGUCGGACUCCUUCCGGAUGUGUGCUGCCAGUUCUGUCCGAGAUUCAAGUGUUAUGCAUUUCGCAGAAAUUCAUCAAAGUCAUCGGACACCUUUCAAGUGGAACGGCGUAUCGGACGGCCACAGGAUUUCGCGUUAAGUCCAAAGUCGCAGAGGAAUCAAAAGGAAUUAUAUUUUGAAUUAGAGCUUAUGAACAUAAGUAUAAUGUGUAAAUAGUUGAAAUCUUAAAGCUUUCAGUUCCAUCUUAUUAAAUGGAUCUUAUUGUUUUUAUAGACGCAAUUGCCAAUUUCUGAGA